AUUGAACGCUGGCGGCAGGCCUAACACAUGCAAGUCGAGCGGAUGAAGGGAGCUUGCUCCUGGAUUCAGCGGCGGACGGGUGAGUAAUGCCUAGGAAUCUGCCUGGUAGUGGGGGAUAACGUCCGGAAACGGGCGCUAAUACCGCAUACGUCCUGAGGGAGAAAGUGGGGGAUCUUCGGACCUCACGCUAUCAGAUGAGCCUAGGUCGGAUUAGCUAGUUGGUGGGGUAAAGGCCUACCAAGGCGACGAUCCGUAACUGAUCUGAGAGGAUGAUCAGUCACACUGGAACUGAGACACGGUCCAGACUCCUACGGGAGGCAGCAGUGGGGAAUAUUGGACAAAGGGCGAAAGCCUGAUCCAGCCAUGCCGCGUGUGUGAAGAAGGUCUUCGGAUUGUAAAGCACUUUAAGUUGGGAGGAAGGGCAGUAAGUUAAUACCUUGCUGUUUUGACGUUACCAACAGAAUAAGCACCGGCUAACUUCGUG
rnacentral:rRNA from 1 species